GAUGAACGCUGGCGGCGUGCUUAACACAUGCAAGUCGAACGGAAAGGCUCCUACUUGCUUGGGGACUCGAGUGGCGAAAGGGUGAGAAACACGUGGAUGAUCUGCCCUGCACUUCGGGAUAAGCCUGGGAAACUGGGUCUACUACCGGAUAUGACGAUGGGUUGGAUGCGAUUGUGGAAGGUUUUGCGGUGUGGGAUGAGCUCGCGGCCUAUCAGCUUGUUGGUGGAGUAAUGGCCUACCAAGGCGUCGUCGGGUAGCCGGCCGGAGGGGUUGUACGGCCACACUGGCCCUGCGCUACCGCCCAGCCUCCUACGGGAGGCAGCAGCGGUGAGUGGUGCACAAUUGGCGCAAGCCUGAUGCGGCGACGCCGCGUUGGGGAUUACGGCCUUCUGGUUGUAACCACCUUUCGCUCUGGACGAAGCGCAAGUGACGGUACCGGGAGAAGAAGCACCGGCUAACUACGUG
rnacentral:rRNA from 1 species